UACGUAGGGUGCAAGCGUUGUCCGGAAUUAUUAAACGUAAAGAGCUCGUAGGCGGUUUGUCGCGUCUGCUGUGAAAACUCAGGGCUUAACCCUGAGCCUGCAGUGGGUACGGGCAGACUAGAGUGUGGUAGGGGAGAUCGGAAUUCCUGGUGUAGCGGUGGAAUGCGCAGAUAUCAGGAGGAACACCGGUGGCGAAGGCGGAUCUCUGGGCCAUAACUGACGCUGAGGAGCGAAAGCAUGGGGAGCGAACAGG
rnacentral:rRNA from 1 species